AUUCCAGCUCCAAUAGCGUAUAUUAAAGUUGUUGCAGUUAAAACGCUCGUAGUCGGAUUUCGGGGCGGGCCGACCGGUCUGCCGAUGGGUAUGCACUGGCCGGCGCGACCUUCCACCCGGAGACCGCGCCUACUCUUAACUGAGCGGGCGCGGGAGACGGGUCUUUUACUUUGAAAAAAUCAGAGUGUUUCAAGCAGGCAGUCGCUCUUGCAUGGAUUAGCAUGGGAUAAUGAAAUAGGACUCUGGUGCUAUUUUGUUGGUUUCUAGAGCUGAGGUAAUGAUUAAUAGGGAUAAUUGGGGGUCUUUGUAUUGCAACGUCAGAGGUGAAAUUCUUGGAUUGUCGCACGACAAACUACUGCGAAAGCAUUGACCAAGGAUGUUUUCAUCA
rnacentral:rRNA from 1 species